GAUGAACGCUGGCGGCGUGCCUAAUACAUGCAAGUCGAGCGAACAGACGAGGAGCUUGCUCCUCUGACGUUAGCGGCGGACGGGUGAGUAACACGUGGAUAACCUACCUAUAAGACUGGGAUAACUUCGGGAAACCGGAGCUAAUACCGGAUAAUAUAUUGAACCGCAUGGUUCAAUAGUGAAUGACGGUUUUGCUGUCACUUAUAGAUGGAUCCGCGCCGCAUUAGCUAGUUGGUAAGGUAACGGCUUACCAAGGCUACGAUGCUUAGCCGACCUGAGAGGGUGAUCGGCCACACUGGAGCUGGAACACGGUCCAGACUCCUACGAGGGGCAGCAGUAGGGAAUCUUCCGGUAUGGGCGAAAGGUUGAAGGAGCAACGUCGCGUGAGUGAUGGAGGUCUUCGGCUGGUAAAACUCUGUAAUUAGGGUAGAACAAAUGUGUAAGUAACUAUGCACGUCUUGACGGUACCUAAUCAGAAAGCCACGGCUAACUACGUG
rnacentral:rRNA from 1 species